rnacentral:snRNA from 1 species
GGAUGUGAGGGAGAUCUGGCUGCGACAUCUGUCACCCCAUUGAUCACCAGGGUUGAUUGGGCUGAUCUGGCUGGCUGGGCGGGUGUCCCCUUCCUCCCUCAACGCUCCAUGUGCGUCUCUCCCGAAGUUGCGCGCUCGGUCAAAGAGGACGACCACCCCAGAUAGAGGAGGACUGUUCCUCGGUCAAGGAUAUACAAGUAGCUGCACUCCCCUGCUAGAACCUCCAAACAAGCUCUCAAGAGGUAAAAGGUUGCUUUGAAGAUAGAUUACCAAAGCCAUUUCCUUUUAUUUCUUCCUGAAGUUAAGA